rnacentral:sRNA from 1 species
UAUCAAAAAGUGAAAGUGCGAGUUUGGAAGCAACUAAAUCAUAACAAUGCAAAACAUGUUCUUUAUUCCAACAGAGGACUAUCAGGAACUCAUUGAAGACAUAGUUCGAGACGGCAGGCUCUAUGCAUCUGAGAACCAUCAGGAAAUACUUAAGGAUAAGAAACUUAUCAAGGCUCUGUUUGAUGUCCUGGCCCAUCCCCAGAACUAUUUCAAGUACACAGCCCAGGAGUCCCGAGAGAUGUUUCCAAGAUCUUUCAUCCGAUUGCUACGUUCCAAAGUGUCCAGGUUUUUGAGGCCUUACAAAUGACUCAGCCCACAUGCCACUCAAUACAAAUGUUCUGCUAUAGGGUUGGUGGGACAGAGCUGCCUUCCUUCUGCAUGUCAGCACAGUCGGAUAUUGCUGCCUCCAGUAUCAGUGACUCAUUAGAGUUCAAUUUUUAUAGAUAAUACAGAUAUUUUGAU